UACGAAGGGGGCUAGCGUUGCUCGGAAUUACUGGGCGUAAAGGGCGCGUAGGCGGACAUUUUAGUCAGAGGUGAAAGCCCAGGGCUCAACCUUGGAAUUGCCUUUGAUACUGGAUGUCUUGAGUUCGGGAGAGGUGAGUGGAAUGCCGAGUGUAGAGGUGAAAUUCGUAGAUAUUCGGAAGAACACCAGUGGCGAAGGCGGCUCACUGGACGACUGAUGACGCUGAGACGCGAAAGCGUGGGGAGCGAAUGGG
rnacentral:rRNA from 1 species